rnacentral:rRNA from 1 species
AUUGAACGCUGGCGGCAUGCCUUACACAUGCAAGUCGAACGGUAACGCGGGGCAACCUGGCGACGAGUGGCGAACGGGUGAGUAAUAUAUCGGAACGUGCCCAGUAGUGGGGGAUAGCCCGGCGAAAGCCGGAUUAAUACCGCAUGAGACCUGAGGGUGAACGCGGGGGAUCGCAAGACCUCGCGCUAUUGGAGCGGCCGAUAUCAGAUUAGCUAGUUGGUGGGGUAAAGGCCUACCAAGGCAACGAUCUGUAGUUGGUCUGAGAGGACGACCAGCCACAGUGGGACUGAGACACGGCCCAGACUCCUACGGGAGGCAGCAGUGGGGAAUUUUGGACAAUGGGCGCAAGCCUGAUCCAGCAAUGCCGCGUGCAGGAAGAAGGCCUUCGGGUUGUAAACUGCUUUUGUCAGGGAAGAAAUCUUCUGGGUUAAUACCUCGGGAGGAUGACGGUACCUGAAGAAUAAGCACCGGCUAACUACGUGCCAGCAGCCGCCGUAAGAC